GAUUGUCGCCAGGGGAGUCCCGGUUCGGACUGAGAGUGCACUCCUGACUCACCGUGUGCAGACCCUGGAACCUGAUCCGGUUGAUACCGGCGGAGGAAGCGCGACAUGCCUUACCU
rnacentral:ncRNA from 2 species